UACAUACGAGGAGGGGAGUUGCUAUUCAAAGCGAGCUAAACAGAACAGUGUUGUCCAUUGUUCAUGGAAUUGAUCAGAGCAACUUAUAGAUAUUUUUCAGUACUAAAGUUGACUAGCAGCUUGCAGAUGCUCCUCUUCCUAGUUUAUAUACAAGAGUACAUAGACAUGUUGACACGGCUGGUUAACUUCCCUGCAUUAAGUAGCUAGUUAACAAAAGUUCAUGUAUUAGCUAGUUUAAACUAUAGCAUGAGUAUGGAGACAUGGCGACACAGCUAGUUAACAUCCUGUGUUACCUAGUUAACCCACUGUUUCAACUAGUAAAACUAAAAAAAUCAUGAAUAUUUAUAGAAAAAGGUUACAAACCAUUGUAGCAACUUCUUCAAAAAGCGAACCCUCUCAUGCUUCCGUGUGAGUGAUUUCUACAUGAUAUUCUUUCUCUUCUAACGCCGGAUAUCCAAGACACUGCUCUUUGCCUUCUGCACUUCUAUUGUCUGUUUUAUUUUCAGGGUCGCUUCCUUUUUCAUCCGUGUCAGUGCUCGUGUGCUACUGUAGUCACAAAAUGUACAUGUGACAUUAGUGCUGUGAACAAGGGGACUAAAAAAAUAAGGCAGAAAAACUAAGGAUAUGAACUGGAUAAACAUUUUAGCCACUAGCAUAAAUCAUCAGACAGUUUUAGUUCCUCUUAUCAAAAACACAAACUUUACUUCAGGAAUGUUCUCAACUUUACUUCAGGAAUACACAAACUUUACUGAUGCUUGUGUUAUAAAAACAGGACAACAAGAACAGGUGAAACUUUGAUGAUUGUUUAUGCAUCUUCUAUUCCGAUAUGUUAUAAGCUUGGCCAUCUGUAAAACUCUGUAGCUUCCAGCUUGUGUUAUACACAAAUUUCUACUAUGCAUUCAAAGUUGCUGAUGCGGACAUCAACAAGGUGUUGUGCAUAUUCUAGGCGGAUGGCUACUCGAGAAAAAUGUAUGAGUUGUAUGGUGAUUGUUUGAGUUUUGGCACGACAUACAAUACGAAUUGUUACAAUAUGCCAAUUCCACCAUUUGUUGGCAUCACUCUGACACGGGCCCCUCUCUCGACGCCGCCCCCUGCAACAAAACAAAGGUCCCCAGUUGCGAGCAAGUUAGGAGACAUGCAGUUGCGUGCCUAGUGUGGGACAUGCAACUGGCCCCAUCUUCUCUCGAAGACACCCCCUCCGGCAAAAAACAAAGGUCCCCGAGUUGCGUCCAAGUUCGAAGACCUGCAGUUGCGUGCCUGUUGUGGGACAUGCAACUAGCCCCAUCUCUCUCAACGCCGCCCCUUCCAACAAAAACAAAGGUCCCCCCAGUUACGACCAAAUUAGAAGACAUGCAAUUAUGUGCCUAAUGUGGGACAUGCAACUGGCCCCCUCCGACAAAAUAAAGGUCCUAGUUGCAACCAAGUUAGAACCCAUGCAGUUGCGUGCCUAGUGUGGGACAUGCAACUGGCCCCUCUCUAUCGACA
rnacentral:lncRNA from 1 species